rnacentral:rRNA from 1 species
UACGUAGGUGGUUUAUUAAGUCAGAUGUGAAAGCCCCGGGCUUAACCUGGGAACUGCAUUUGAUACUGGUAGACUAGAGUAUGGCAGAGGGGGGUAGAAUUCCUAGUGUAGCGGUGAAAUGCGUAGAUAUUAGGAGGAAUACCAGUGGCGAAGGCGGCCCCCUGGACCAAUACUGACACUGAGGUACGAAAGCGUGGGUAGCGAACA